CAGGCAUCCUGUUCUUUCUUGUGAACAGUCUCCGUAGAGAUGAGAGGAAUCCACCCCUUGUUUUCUUCUGAUUGGCUACAGCAGUGGAUGAAACAAUGUGGCCAUCAGCGGUAGAGGUCGACAUUUUCUCAGAAGAGUGCUCCAGGCUGGUAGCAAUAGCAUCAACUUCAUGGACCGAAGCAUUGCCACUCUCGGUUGAAAACAUAGAAAUAGUGAUGACUAGUCUACUUCUCUUGGUUGAGACAUCAGCCACAUGGACCUCAGGUUGGUUGGAGUCUCUCAGUGUGGAAUCAUCACGAUCCUUCACUCUAGCGUCACUGCUGGACAGAACCUGAGACACUAGGCCUGCAGCAGACUGGAUCAGGUCAUUCUCCACGAUGGAAACACUGGUGGACAGAACCUGAGACUCUAGGCCUGCAGCAGACUGGAUCAGGUCAUUCUCCACGAUGGUAACACUGGUGGACAGAACCUGAGACACUAGGCCUGCAGCAGACUGGAUCAGGUCAUUCUCCACGAUGGUAACACUGGUGGACAGAACCUGAGACACUAGGCCUGCAGCAGACUGGAUCAGGUUGUCUUCCUCGAUGGAAACACUGGUGGACAGAACCUGAGGAGUCUGCAGGAGUGUCAGUGGCUCCCACUCAUCCAGGAAGAAGCUCUCGACAGAAGGGAAGCUUCUUCCUUUCAGAGCUGGGGGAAUGUAGGGGGUGUACCCAACAGUCCAGAGUAGAGAGCUGUCGAUGGCAUUCACGUAGUGGUACUUGUCACCAAGUACCUCUGCAAAGCUCUGAACAAUGUUCUGACUCUCUGACUCUGGACCACCAAGGGCGUUGAGUUGGGUCACCGUUGACAUCCACCCUGAAAGAAACACCAACACAGGGUUAACUAAACUGAUUUCAGCAUUACAAGCAAGGGAUAUUCUUCAUAUUCUUCAUG
ensembl:lncRNA